AAACAAAACGGCUGUAAUUGUGCAAUGGGGUGAAGUGGUGAACCAUCCAAUUUGCCGUUGGUCAAGCAUAUACUGACUGAACCAUCAAGAUCCACGCUCCCCUCUGUACUGUCCACUACAUCAGCAAACCAACAACUCUGUUUCCAUCUCUCUGUUUUCCCACGGAGUUUCUCUCUCUCCUCCCCCGGAAAAUGGAGAACGGCGUCGCAGCCGCGGAGCAGUCGUCUCCGUCUUCAUCGGCGCUGAUAUUCAUGGGAACAGGUUGCUCCAGUGCUGUACCAAAUGCGAUGUGCUUGAUCCAGCCUUCUGAUCCACCUUGCUCUGUUUGUGUUCAGUCCUUGUCCAUUUCCCCCGACCAAAACCCUAAUUAUCGGGGCAAUACAUCUCUACUUAUUGAUUAUUGCCAGACUGAUGGUGAGCAUAGUUAUAUCUUGAUUGACGUUGGGAAGACAUUCAGAGAGGCAGUACUUCGAUGGUUCACCUUACAUAAAAUUCCACGGGUUGAUUCUAUAAUUUUGACGCAUGAGCAUGCAGAUGCAAUUCUUGGUCUGGACGACAUCCGAGCUGUACAACCAUUCAGUACCACUAAUGACAUCAGUCCGACUCCAAUUUACCUCACCCAGGAUUCUAUGAAUAGUGUUGCUGUGAAAUUUCCUUACCUGGUCCAGAAAAAACUUAAAGAAGGCCAGGAGAUUAGACGAGUAGCUCAGCUUGACUGGAAAAUAAUUGAGAGCGAUCACGAGAAACCAUUUUUCGCAUCGGGCCUGCAAUUCGCCCCCUUACCAGUGAUGCAUGGUGAAGAUUACGUUGCAUUGGGUUUCCUUUUCGGUCAGAAGUGCGAAGUAGCUUACAUAUCUGAUGUCUCUCGUUUUAUCCCAAGCACAGAGGCUCUUAUCUCUAAAAGUGGUGGUGGGCAGUUGGACCUUCUUAUCUUGGAUACACUUUACAAGAAUGGGUCGCAUAAUACUCACCUGUGCUUCUCUCAGACUCUUGAUGCGGUGAAGAGAAUUUGUCCAAAGCGUGCUCUGUUAAUUGGAAUGACCCAUGAAUUUGAUCACCAUAAUGACAACACUUUUCUUGCUGAAUGGUCAAGCAGGGAGGGAAUUCAGGUUCAACUAGCUCACGAUGGUCUAAGAAUCCCCAUAGAUCUUUGACAAGGAAGUUAUCUUUUCUAGGGCAGUACUGAAGGUUGAGUUGUUUGGUUGACACUGCAGAUCAGGUACAAGUAUACUUGCUUCUUGUCUUCUUUGGUGGGCAAUCGGACAUUUCAUUCAUAUAGGUCGAAGAUAUCGGCAAUAUCAGGUCAAAGGUUUGAACUCAAGAUGACAUAACGAACUCGUCGUGCACUUGCAGAUGGACUUCUCAAGCUUUUGAUCUUGGUAUUCACUGAUUCCUUUUCCCUUCAUACAGAGAUACACUUCUAUACAGAGGAAAAAAAAGCUCUGGGCUAAUGUAGUUGCUUUAGUCAUGUAUACAAAAUGCUGCCCGAAAUCUUAAUACUUGUGUUGGUCAACUCGUAACCCCUAAAAAAUAUUGAGGGAGUAUAUUAUUAGAAUAUUCAACUUUUUCCCAUAUAUGUUACUGCGAUAUUUUUUGACAGGGUAAUACAACUAAAAGUUAUUGUCUCA